GCAUCAGCUUAAAAUCAUUUUAGUAAAGAAAGAAACAAUACUCAGGCGAAUGACACACGGUCUGAAAUGAGAAAACGCUGCGCCCAACGUAAAGAGGUUCAUUGGAAUUGGUUUGAACCAGAGGAGUCUAACUACAGAGUUUCACACAGGAAGCCCAAGCAGGUCACGUGACAAUCAACAUUACCUGACGUUCACAACAUUUACAUUUGGCUACACAUGACAGAAUGGAACCAAUCAAUGCAAGUAGAAAGUUGUAAAGGCAUGUUUUAUACUGACCCGUCCAAAUAGGAGACCAGGAAAAGACGCCAACCACCAGAAACUCGGCACUUGAUAGACAUGUCAAGAUGCAGAACACCAUGAACGACAUGACCUGGACAAGAGAAAUAUCUUAUUUUAGCAAAUUUCAUUGGCUGACGAGGAAAUAGUGAGAAGAACACCAUGACCUGGACAUGACCUGGACAUGACCUAGACAUGAUUUGGACAAUGAAAAUAUUAUAGUAAAAUUCAUUGGCUGACGAGGAAAUGGUGAGGGAAAAACUCCAGAAGAACAUGAUCUGGACAUGACCUGGACAAGAGCCACGGAAAUCACAUCACUUAAAAGCAAUGCCACAGAGAUCACUCGAAGAGUCAAAUGUUCCUAUGGUAACCAAUCGUCAAGGUAACUAACUACCCACGUACUGGUCCUCGAAGAUAAAGACUGAAUGCGUUCAAGACUCAUUCACUUGAAAAUACAGUCGUUUUACCUUGGGAAAAUAGGCUUAAAAUCACUUAAUUUUCAAAGCCAUCCGCUACAACUAGCAGCCACGAUAAGAUUUACCGCUCCGUUAAUUUAAGUAACGCAUUUAAACAACUUCACCAUGUUGCACUGGAUUUCCUUAUUUCUGGCGCUGAUGAUAUUGAACCAUCCUAUAACUGAGGGACGUCCCGCAAGGACGUCAUUGAAACGGACCAUCAGACAGAAUACAAUCUUGGCUUUUAAAAAAGAAUCGGCCCUACUUCAUCUUUUAGAUAGGCCAUUCCUUCCCUUCAAAAAAGACUCGACACCAGACCCUACAGAUGACACAUUCCUUCCCUUCAAGAGAGACUCGACACCAGAACCUACACCUGACCCAUUCCUUCCUUUCAAGAGAGAC